rnacentral:miRNA from 1 species
AACAAGGAAAAUGUCCGGGCUG